rnacentral:rRNA from 1 species
ACGAACGCUGGCGGCGUGCUUAACACAUGCAAGUCGAACGGAAAGGCCCCUUUGGGGGUACUCGAGUGGCGAACGGGUGAGUAACACGUGAGUAACCUGCCCUUGACUUCGGGAUCACUUCAGGAAACUGGGGCUAAUACCGGAUAGGAAUCCUUGCUGCCUGGUGGGGGUUGGAAAGCUUCGGCGGUUUUGGAUGGACUCGCGGCUUAUCAGCUUGUUGGUGGGGUAGUGGCUUACCAAGUCCUUGACGGGUAGCCGGCCUGAGAGGGCGACCGGCCACAUUGGGACUGAGAUACGGCCCAGACUCCUACGGGAGGCAGCAGUGGGGAAUAUUGCACAAUGGGCGGAAGCCUGAUGCAGCAACGCCGCGUGCGGGAUGACGGCCUGCGGGUUGUAAACCGCUUUCAGCAGGGGCGAAGCUUGUGGUGACGGUACCUGCAGAAGAAGCACCGGCUAACUACGU